GAUAUGACUGUGGGCGGAGCGACCACCUGAGUUUGGCGACAACUUCUUAAAGGCAAUAUUGAAGCAAAAUCCAAGCCAAUAAAGCAGAUGCACAGCAAAAAGGUUGACUACCUUACCAUUAAUACUUAACCGCCAUCUGGAGAAAUUAAGGAAAGCCCGCAAGUUGAGAGUAUGAGUACCUCACAAUUUUAGUGAACGGAAUAAAUAUAAUAUAAUUUUGUUAUCAAUGAAAGCAAAAUAAAUGUCUAAUAAAAAAAUAAAAGUUACUUAUAAAUAAACGGAUAUUUCUAAAAAACAGGCCGUGUGCAUCCUCAACAGUUUUACAUAAUUUUAGUUAAGAAAAAUUAAGUCCAACUCUCCGCUCAUCGCCUCAUAUAGAUGGAGAUUCGCUAGAUGUCAAAAAUUAAAAAACAAGCAUAUACCUGCACUAUCGCUUCAGCGAUACUUCCUUGAUAUCAACACACCGGCACAGCAGCGCUCCUUAUGUAUUACUAUGUAUGUAUAUAUUAGCGCGGCUUUUAUUGUAUAUAUUAUUAUAGUUUUAAAUUAAGUUUUUAAUGGAGUAGGCCUACAGGGGAGCCAGCCAUUCAAAACAAAUUGGCAAUGCGCCUACGACGGUACCUCAUGGGUGGUGUGGAAAACCGCUUUCUUUCUCUCCAUGGUUUACGCUGAAUAAGUCCAUAAAAAUAAAUGAAAAAUUGUUAUUUUUUGUAGAGGAAUGUCAACACCAUCGAUUUUAGCCGUAAUUUCUUACUAGUCACUGAUUAACAUUUUCGCAAACACUUUUUGUAUCAGAAUAGUUUCCCAUAAUUAGUCCAUUGCUCUUAUCAUCCUUUUUCUGAUCAAUGUACACAUGCGUUUACUUUUAUGUUAUAACACUUUCUGACAUGACCACGAAAGUAAAAACAAAACUGCAAGGUAAUCGCCUAUCUGAAAGUUACUUUUCGUUGCAUUUGUGGAAGACUUUGAUUAUCAUAUAUUUAUUGAUUACAAUGUGCAUUUCAGCCAAUGUAAAUAUCAUAACUCAGAUAUUGCGUUAUGUAGCCGAUUUGAGGAUUUCCAUUAGGUAAGUUCCAAAUGCAAUACUGCUAAUAAAGGAAAAAUUAACAAACACACAAAGCAUGUGCUUUCUUGCGAGAAUUUGUUCACAAUUUCAAACAGAACACGGAGACUUCCUUAAGAACCAUUGGUGAGUUGCCACUGCAUAACCAAGGCGAAUUAUCGAAAAUGUUUUGAUCUUGACUUUCUUAAUAUUUGUUGAAUGUAAACGUGGAAAU